CAGCCGCCGCGGUAAUACAGAGGGUGCAAGCGUUAAUCGGAAUUACUGGGCGUAAAGCGCGCGUAGGUGGUUUGUUAAGUUGGAUGUGAAAUCCCCGGGCUCAACCUGGGAACUGCAUCCAAAACUGGCAAGCUAGAGCAUGGUAGAGGGUGGUGGAAUUUCCUGUGUAGCGGUGAAAUGCGUAGAUAUAGGAAGGAACACCAGUGGCGAAGGCGACCACCUGGACUGAUACUGACACUGAGGUGCGAAAGCGUGGGGAGCAAACAGGAUUAGAUACCCCAGUAGUCCCUGUCUCUUAUAC
rnacentral:rRNA from 1 species